UACGGAGGGGGCGAGCGUUAUUCGGAAUUAUUGGGCGUAAAGGGCGCGUAGGCGGCUUGGCAAGUCAAAGGUGAAAUCCCUCGGCUCAACUGAGGAACUGCCUUUGAAACUGCCUGGCUUGAGGCCGGGAGGGGGUAGCGGAAUUCCCAGUGUAGCGGUGAAAUGCGUAGAUAUUGGGAGGAACACCAGUGGCGAAGGCGGCUACCUGGACCGGUUCUGACGCUGAUGCGCGAAAGCGUGGGUAGCAAACAGGGAAUUAAAA
rnacentral:rRNA from 1 species